rnacentral:rRNA from 1 species
GGCUUUUUGUUUUAAUUUAAAGUUUAACCUGCCCCCUGAAAUUUUAAAUGGCCGCAGUAUUUUGACUGUGAUAAGGUAGCAUAAUCAUUAGUUUCUUAAUUAGAAGCUGGAAUGAAUGGUUGAAUGAGAAAAUAACUGUCUUAAAUUUAAUUUAAAUGAAUUUUAUUUUUAAGUAAAAAAGCUUAAAUUUUUUUAAAAGACGAGAAGACCCUAUAGAGUUUCAUAUAAUAAUAAUUUUAAUUUUUUGGAAAUUUUAAUUUUAAGUUUUUAUUAUAUUUAAUUGGGGUGAUUAAAAAAUUUAAUAAACUUUUUUUUUAUUUUUACAUUAAUUUAUGAAUAUUUGAUCCAUUAUUUUUGAUUAUAAGAUUAAAUUACCUUAGGGAUAACAGCGUUAUUUUUUUUGAGAGUUCUUAUCGAUAAAAGAGUUUGCGACCUCGAUGUUGGAUUAAAAUUUACUUUUGGUGAAGAAGCUAGAGAGUUAGGUCUGUUCGACCUUUAAAAUUUUACAUGA